rnacentral:lncRNA from 1 species
CAUCCAACAGACAAACCAAGAAACUAGGCUACUAGACAUUUCAUUAUUAGCUAGGAUGGCGGCUGCUGGCUGCUGGUAGACUCGUGCUGUCGUGCAGAUGAAUUAACCAAACUCGAUUAGCUUAGCUCAGACAAGACAAGCACAAGAGCACGCGGCAGGGUUCUCGGGAGCACCCAAACACAGGUUAAAUUACUCCAAAGCGACCAGCCAACCCCCCCGGAUUAAGCUAAAGCCGCCCCCACCCAACCCGUGUCACCUUUUCAAAUCCCCACCUCCAAACCAUUGGCGCCUCCGAUCCCCCUCGCCUCACCAUGACGGCACGACACGACACCUCUUCAAAAUCAUACCCAGUUGCCCUCCUCCAUUUUCACUGCCGCCUGUGCUUUGCAGACACACCGCACAGCCAUUGAGUAGCCUACAUUUUCUUGCGGGAUGCCACCGCUCGACCUCGACACCCUCGUCUCGUGCGAUGGCGUAGGCGGCGGUGACGCCGAGUUGAAGGCCGCGUGUGGUUGCGACGCCGCGCUGUCCGACGGCUCUGGCACCGAAAAGCGCGACGAUGACGACCCGUACGCCCCCGCGCAGUCCCUCCGGCUGAGGAUCGGGGAGGACAUCGAGUGGAGCGACGUAGUCGGCGCCGCAGCGGUGCUGGAGCGGGACGACUCCACCAAGGGCGCCGGCGCCAACCCCAAGUGCGCCGCGCGCAGGAGCGUGGCGGCCGCCGCCGCCGCGAGGGGCUCGCUGCCGCCCGCCCCGGCGCCGAGGGCGGUGGCCGUGGUCAUUGGCGGGCUGCCGGGCAAGGUCGCGCGGGAGCACGGCGGGCGGGGGCGCUCCCCGCGCCGGCUCGGCGGCCGCGCAAGGAGGGUGUUCGCGGCCGGGGAGGCGGCCGCGGACCGGCUGGCGGAGCCCGGGUCGCCCGAGGUAUCCUGCCUCGGGGGCGUCCGGUCGCAGCCGCGUGCCGCGGCUGAGGGGUUCAGCAGUGGCCGCCGGUGGUGGGCGUGGCUGGUGGCCGACGUCGCGUCCUGCUGCUGGAACGACCGGCGCGAGAGGAGGCGGCCGAGGGGGAGCGAAGCCGACUAGCGACGGUACGGCAGUGGCCGGUGGCGGCGUCACCACCUGUGCUGGCCGCGCGGACGUGGCAUCGGGGCAUCGGAUCACCAGAUCGAUUUGGUGGAGUAGGUCGGGCCUGUCACGUAGUGUCGGCCACAUGCAGAUUUUCGUCUUCUUCUAGUUAGCUCUGGAUUGUUUGUGGCUCUCUCUCUCUGCUCUGUUCAUGGUCGGCCCGGCCGGAGUAGCUCGUGCCUUUCCUGUACAUGGGACCUUCACCAGGUGUUCAAUUUGAAUUUAAACUUUGUCAUGGCCCUCUGCCUCGCUGCGUGUCCACUGUCAAAGCCGAAGGCACCUUGUUUUUUUGGAUCCAGAUUGCUGAGUAAUGCUAUUUGUUCACUGAUUUGGAGCUUUUGUUGAUGAGCAGCCUGUGUUUGUUGGGAAUGUCCUCGUAUGGACGUAUGGUAUUUGUCCUAGUUGAUUGUGUUCGUGACCGUGAUUACUGAUCGUCCUGAGUAAUCGGAUGAUGUAUGCCGCGGUUCAAGCGAGUC